AACGAACGCUGGCGGCAGGCUUAACACAUGCAAGUCGAGCGCGUAGCAAUACGAGCGGCAGACGGGUGAGUAACGCGUGGGAAUCUACCCAACCCUACGGAAUAACGCAUGGAAACGUGUGCUAAUACCGUAUACGCCCUUAGGGGGAAAGAUUUAUCGGGGAUGGAUGAGCCCGCGUUGGAUUAGCUAGUUGGUGGGGUAAAGGCCUACCAAGGCGACGAUCCAUAGCUGGUCUGAGAGGAUGAUCAGCCACAUUGGGACUGAGACACGGCCCAAACUCCUACGGGAGGCAGCAGUGGGGAAUAUUGGACAAUGGGCGCAAGCCUGAUCCAGCCAUGCCGCGUGAGUGAUGAAGGCCCUAGGGUUGUAAAGCUCUUUCACCGGUGAAGAUAAUGACGGUAACCGGAGAAGAAGCCCCGGCUAACUUCGUGCCAGCAGCCGCG
rnacentral:rRNA from 1 species